rnacentral:lncRNA from 1 species
GGUCAUCGAAUCGUAAGGAAACAUAAGUACCGACCACUCAGGUCAACUAGAAUGUGUUAAGGAUUUUAUAGGUUGACGAAUUUCGUAAAGUUGAUUGGAGUCUUGAAAAGUUGAUCGCAGAAGUUUUGAAGCAAAGAUUCAAAUUGAAGAACAAAGAUUCAUUCGUAAAGUUCGGCACCUAAGGUAUGGAGAAAAGAUCAUUUGUGGUG